GGGGCAAAGACAGGUGUGAAAGGCUGUCUUUACACAGGACAGUGAAAAUGACCAGCCUCCAGCAUCUUCUGAUCUCAAGUGAGGCCUUUCACGGCCCUUCAUGAGAGAUUACAUGGAAGUGAAUGAAGAUUUUGUGUCUUGUAAUGCCUAGGAGGAGAUUCGCCUAUAACAGACAAUCGCUGUUCCAAAGAGCUUUUAACUUGAACCUGCAAGACACUAUAUGAAAGGCUAAUGGAGAAUUAAAGUGACGCAUACACCCUUAACGAAGGGUGAGUGGCAAAGCCAAGUCUGCUGAUUUUCUAGCUAAUGUACUUUGCAGAUCACAUAGCAGCCCUUCUCUCCCUCUCCAUCAUGGGCAAUAUGUUUAUAAUAAAAGAAG